GGGCAGAUUUUAUUACUUCUCUUUUCCUGAUAGCAGAACUGAGGCGGGGUUGUGGAGGAGCGACGGAGGACCACCUCUAACUUCCCUUCACUUCCUGGAUUUGAAGCCUCAGGGCCACCGGCCUCAGUCCUGUUACGGUGGCGGACUCGCGAGGUUUUCCAGCAGCUCAUUCCGGGACGGCGGUGUCUAGUCCAGUCCAGGGUAACUGGGCUCUCUGAGAGUCCGACCUCCAUCGGUCUGGGAGCGAGUGGUUCGAGUUCAGAUGCUGGGAACCGUCGCUUCUCCCCGGCCGGGCUCGCUGUUUUCUCCUCCGCUCGCCGUCAUCAAGCCCGGCUAUGAGCAGGGCUUUAAAUCCUCCCUCCCUCACCCGCAGGUUUACCGAGCAGCCCCGGAGCUCUCAGACAUGCUGCGCUGCGGCGGCCAGAGGAGGGGUGGGGGCAUUGCCCUCUGCAGCCUAGUGCCCAAAUUGCCACUCAUCCGGUCUGGUGCCAUGAAGGGAAGGCCGCGAGAUGGUGCUAAUUAAGAAGGCCAGACUCUACUCCUUGCACAAGGCCUAAGGAAAGCAGCCGAUGGCUCCCAAGACAACUCUGUCCGGCCAGUACUCCAGGGCAACUUCAACCCCACUAGGACCCAGGCCAAAACCAUAUAUAUAUAUAUAUAUAUAUAAAUUAACGCAAAACAGAGCCACUUUGGUGCCUACCCCUCCACAAGUAGGUAGGCACAUCCAGGUAGCUCUGUCAGAAGAUGGGACCUGGCGCCUUGCAGGGGUAGCCCUAUGGAGAUCCAGAAGCCCCGUUUCGAGCUACGAAGUCUCUCUUCUACUGCAGUCUUCUCUCCAACGUGGAGAUCUAGCAACUUCCCUCCCCCUGGGAUUCCCUGUGAAUCCACUCUAGUUGGGAUAUAGCCUCUCUACAGCUCAGUGACGUAGCGCGCCAAAACCAAGUACCCACCCCGGCAACUGGAAGACCUAGCUGUCCUCCAUCCCGCCUCCGCAGUCGAUAAUCUCCAGGAUCCAAGCAAAGUGCCUGUCCACGUUGUCACCAGAUCCACAAGCGCUUUUGAUGAGAGCUGCUACCCUUUUGGAAACACGAUUCCCUCUCCCUAGUAGAGAAGAAUCUAUUCUUCUGGGCUGGCGUAGACAAAGAAUAACCAAGAUAAAGUAUGUGGUGUGAAAAUAUCAGCUGCCUCUUCUUUUUUUGUUUUUGAAACGGAGUCUCGCUCUGUCUCCUAGGGUGGAGUGCAGUGGCACUAUCUCUGCUCACUGCAACUUCCGCCUCCUGGAUUCAAGCGAUUCUCCUACCUCAGCCUCUGGAGUAGCUGGGACUAUAGGCGCCCGCCACCACGCCCGGCUAAUUUUUUGUAUAUUUAGUAGAGACGGGGUGGGGGGGUGUUUCACCAUGUUGGCCAGGCUGGUCACGAACUCCUGACCUCAAAUGAUCGGCCCACCUCGACCUCCCAAAGUGCUGGGAUUACAGGCGUGAGCCACCGCGCGCCGGGUGGAAAACAUUAGCUUCUAAUAGCAGUCUUGGAGUGGAGUGAAGACGUUCAGGAAGUGGUGGAGAUAGGCCUGCUCAAUUAACCGGCCCCAGAUAUCAUUUCUCUGGCUACCUCUUUUCUCGCCUGGCCUGGCCCUCUAUACCGUUUUUUGUUUGUUUGUUUUGUUUUGUUUUUUUUCUGCAAAACGUUUUCUGCUGCAACUUUCUCUUUAUUUAUGCCUUUAUCUUUCUUAAACAAGAGGUCCCUGGAAAUAACUAACUAAGGAGGGGAGAGGAACCCCCUCACCCCCAAUUUCAUGAAUGAGUGCUACAUUCAUGCUGGCCGGGUACCAAGAGCAUCUUUAGAUCUUUAGACCUGAGUCUUCUCAUCUGUGAAAAAGAGGUUAAAGCAGAUGAACCCUAAAGGCCCAUUUCCAGUCUUAAAUUCAACACUUUCAAGACAAAACUUUUCUUCUGUAUUCCUGAGUGUGUAUAUAUAUGUUAUGUAAUAUAUAUUAUAAUGUAUAUAUAUAAACUUGGCUUAGUAAUGUUCUGUGCUGAGAUGCAGAUGAGGAGGACAUUUUAAACUUCUAAGGGUGCCCUCCCUCUGGUUGUUUCCUCCCAGACGAGCAUUCUUUGUGGAACAGAAAGAGAUCCUCAGGGUGGAAAGCACCAGAGGCAGGUCUCCUGAAUACGGUGCUGUCCAAGUCUACUCAUGGUCACAUGAUUCAUUAGGACUGUAAAUCCUCAUCAGAACACAAGCAUCAGACUCUCUGACCCUGCCAAUUCAAGUACUAAUGGUAAAAUCGUCCAAGAGGCUGGCCAACAUAUGCACACAUUAAUUAGAGUUAUGUGGGCCUUUGGCUUCCAGUCUGAUGAACAGCUCCAGGGAUGCAGGGGGCAGAGGGUUUGGGGUCCUUUUCACCCAGCAGAUGCCCUUUGGUCCUGAGAGGGCAUUAGUCCAAUACAGUGGGUGAUCUGAAAGCUAACCCCUUUCAGAGGAUGGCUUAACCUCAGCAACUAGGCUAAAACCUAGCAGUGGGUCCCUAAGAGGGACAGGGGAAAAAAAUCUGUUCAGAGGAAAUGAGAAUCAGCAGUAAGCUUUUGUUGUUAUUACUUCAUCUUGUAUUAUUAUGAGACAGGAGUGGGGAGAAGCCCAAGGUGAAAGAAGAGAAAUUUUUGGUAUGCAUGGAAGACGUGGAUACUUAGCAACCCUCUCCCCUGGCACUCAAGUGCACACGCAGAGAAAGUAAUUGCUAUAUUCCAUCUAGAAGCUGAAAAUGCUUUCAACACCAUUUACAAGGAUAAGGGAAGGAGCAGCUGAGGGGAGCAUGGGUUUGAUUCAACUUAACUGCAAUUCUGGCCAGGUACCACAAGUCACAGAGCAUCCCAGAGAGCAGAAUCCCAGAGAGUGUCCCCCAUCCCUGGCAAGGGACACUAUGCAUGGCACUUUUCCUACAAGAUGUGUCCUUUUCUCCAUCCAUAUCUAACUCCUAUGUGGAGGAGAGUCAAGGUCACUCACAGUCUCUAUUAGACUUGGGGAGCAAGACCCCUCAGCCUCUCCAAGGGUCACAUUGAUGUAAAUGAAGGUGUCAUCCGCUCUUGUAGGGAACAGUCACCUCUGGCUUUACCUUCAUGCCUUUUUGAAUUGUAAAGGGCAAAAUGCCUGGAGUCUAUCAAGUCUACACAUAGUUAUUAUACUGCAAAAUUUGUCUCAAUUGUUUUGUGAUAAAUGUGUAUUUCCCAAUCCCCCACCUCCUUCCAUUAUAACCCAUAUGAACCAUCUAUGGACUAGAACAUAGCAAAAAACCUCUCUAUGGUAGGAGAAAAUGUAUUUAUUACUUAUAUGAUGCAAACAAUGUAGACCUUUUCAUUUUGAGUUGGAGAGAGGGGACACACAAAAAUUGAGAAGCCACAUUCCCACAAUUCUAGGCAGAAUUUGAUCUCACUUUUUUACUUCUUUUAUUUCUCUUUCUCCCUUUUUUCUUAUUCUUUGUCCUCAUCCACAGAGAAAAGACAAUCCAAUCUGGAGUCCUAGGGAUUGAUUAUUCCACAUUUGUCCCUAUCUUCUCUUUCCCAAGAGAAGAUCCCUUUGUUUCUGAGUUUACAUCAUGAAAGGAGUUUACAUCAUUACUCCCCCCUUUUUUAUUUAAACUUAAAGUACAUGAGUAACAAGAACUCUUACACCUAGGUAAAGCCUUGGGAAGGGAGCAAACUGCUCAGGCUGCUAAGGUGUAAGAGGAUGUAUGUGAAGGGGAG
rnacentral:lncRNA from 1 species